rnacentral:rRNA from 1 species
UUUAAUUGGGAUCUUGUAUGAAUGAUUGGACAAGAAAAGUACUGUCUUUAUAUUAUAGUUUGAAUUUAACUUUUAAGUGAAAAGGCUUAAAUACGCUAAAGGGACGAUAAGACCCUAUAAAACUUUACAUUGUAAGUUAAUGUUUAUUAAUUUAUAUGAUAACAAUAAAAUUUAAUUUGUUUGUUAUGUUGGGGAGACAAAGGCUAUAAUUUAUACUAACUGCUUGAAGAUAAAACAAAAAUGAGUGAUUAAGUUUUGAGAUCCUUUAUAGAGAUUAUAAGAUUAAGUUACUUUAGGGAUAACAGCGUUAUUUUUUUUGAGAGUUCUUAUCGAAAAAAGAGAUUGCGACCUCGAUGUUGAAUUAAAAUAUCUUUAUAAUGUAGGCGUUAUAAAAGAAGGUCUGUUCGACCUUUAAUUUUUU